rnacentral:rRNA from 1 species
UACGUAGGGAGCAAGCGUUGUCCGGAUUUAUUGGGCGUAAAGAGCUCGUAGGCGGCUUGGUUAGUUGGGUGUGAAAUCUCCAGGCUCAACCUGGAGGGGCCACCCAAUACUGCCAUGGCUAGAGUCCGGUAGGGGGUCACGGAAUUCCUGGUGUAGCGGUGAAAUGCGCAGAGAUCAGGAGGAACACCGGUGGCGAAGGCGGUGACCUGGGCCGGUACUGACGCUGAGGAGCGAAAGCGUGGGGAGCGAACAGG